AACGAACGCUGGCGGCAGGCCUAACACAUGCAAGUCGAGCGAGGACUUCGGUCCUAGCGGCGGACGGGUGAGUAACGCGUGGGAACGUGCCCUUUGCUUCGGAAUAGCCCUGGGAAACUGGGAGUAAUACCGGAUGAGCCCUUUGGGGGAAAGAUUUAUCGGCGAAGGAUCGGCCCGCGUUGGAUUAGGUAGUUGGUGGGGUAAUGGCCUACCAAGCCGACGAUCCAUAGCUGGUUUGAGAGGAUGAUCAGCCACAAUGGGACUGAGACACGGCCCAGACUCCUACGGGAGGCAGCAGUGGGGAAUCUUAGACAAUGGGGGAAACCCUGAUCUAGCCAUGCCGCGUGAGCGAUGAAGGCCUUAGGGUUGUAAAGCUCUUUCAGCUGGGAAGAUAAUGACGGUACCAGCAGAAGAAGCCCCGGCUAACUCCGUG
rnacentral:rRNA from 1 species